CAAUGCAUGGGUUAGAUAUUCAUAUUGGGAACAAUGGUUAUUCAAAGAAGCGAAUUUACGCAUGCCCUUUACCAAAAGGUUUAUUGCCAAAAGCUGAAUUUCUUAAAUUUAAUGAUUGAUAAGGAUUUCAAGGGAGAGAGGGAGAACCUCUCACUGUUGCUCACAAAUGUGAGAUAACUCAGGUUGACUUAAAAAAAAUCACCAUUUGUGAAUCUUUGCAUUCAGCUUAGGUACGACCUGCUUCCUGAUGGCAUGACUAAGGUUGGUAGGUUGAGGCAGUUAAAAGUGAUAAAACACCAUUAGAGGUGGAGUAGCAAGAUGUUACAAAGAAAACCACCUCAUGGGGCAAUACAUCUUAAUAUUAUUAUCUGUCCUGAUAAACAAACAAACAGAAAACCCAAAACCAGCACAAAACAAAAAAUCAUUCAAACAAACAAAAAAACCCAACCAAAACCCUGCAUAGUGAUAAACAUGUACACAGCCUAUUUUAUAGAAAAAGUCAUGGAGACAUUUUGCUUCAGAAAACAUUCAUUAGAAUUCAAAGACUUACCUUUCUUUUAUUGAAUAAAAAGCCCUUAAAAAAACCCCUCUACUGAUCUCUGGAAAAUAUGGCUAUGGCAAAGAUAGUUAUGCAUGAUGCACUUCCAAGUUAUGCAAAUCCUAAAGAGGAAAUAAUAUUAAUCCCCAGAUUCUACGUAUUCUUUGCUAGUAAUUUCUUAUGCAUGCUCAAAAUCCAGAAAGAAACCCAACCUACCAAUUUUAUUUUUAGAGAGUCUAAAAAUUUACAGAUUUUCAUGGAGUAAAUAAUACAGGAGAACACAAAUGAAAGAUGAAAGUCAACUUGAAAGUAAAUUCACUGAAUGGAAGACAUCUUAUCCCCAACCCUAGAUUUUAUGCAGCUAUCCCAUGCCACAGCUAUCACAUCAGUUGUCUAUGGUAGUUGCUUCCAUACAUUUUGUAGCUGAGCCACGAUGAUGAGUUCUCCUCCUACCUCAUUAUGUCACUGUCUCUGCCUUAACCCACCCAUCCUGCUGCCAUCUCGCUGUCUCCCUGCCAAGGUACCUUUUCAUGUCAGACAAAAAGAGAGUUGUAUAUACUACAACUGAGUAAUAGAUAAAAUUUCUCUGCUUGGAAAUGGAGCAAAGUCCUCUUCUAAAAUGGAAGAAGCCUGUGUUGGCUUCCUCUACCGGUAAGUCCCCUAAACAUUCAUUGUCAAAACCCACUGCUUUUAGAAGCUUUGCGCACAUCUUAAAAGGUGGCACUAUUUAUUGACUGCACUGUAGUCAUGCUUUUGCCUAAUUUUUUGUGGCAAAAUUAGGUGAGGAGAGGUGUCUUCCAAGAAGGUCUAUAAAGGACCCAGGUUUAAAUAUCACUUUGGAGUUAGUGAAAUCGAUCAACUACACUUCUUUUAUUUCUUUGAAGGACAGAUGAAAUGAGUGGCUGAUAGAUCAGUAGCUGCACAUGCAGAAGUCUACUUUGGAGGUGACAAAUACAGAGAUUACUGAGAUUAAGAUGCUGAAAGAACAAGA
rnacentral:lncRNA from 1 species